UACGUAGGCAGCAAGCGUUGUUCGGAGUUAUUGGGCGUAAAGAGCGCGUAGGCGGUCCGAUAAGUCGGCUGUGAAAGUCAGGGGCUCAACCCUUGAAGGCCGGCCGAUACUGUCGGACUAGAGUCCGGAAGAGGCGAGUGGAAUUCCCGGUGUAGCAGUGAAAUGCGUAGAGAUCGUAAGGAAGACCAGUGGCGAAGGCGGGUCUCUGGACAGUUCCUGACACUGAGGCACGAAGGCCAGGGGAGCAAACGGG
rnacentral:rRNA from 1 species